ACUCAGAUUUCUGGUCGACAGAGAGAGGUGUCCCAAAUCUGUCCAGUUUUACCCCCAAAAGAACCCUAAUCCUCCGAUUCAAAGCAUUGACCAAACUCGACCCUUAAUCAGCAGAAGAUCACUGGACUCGGAAUUUAUCCUUCAAACCAUUUGUUCUGCUUUACUUGUUUUGUUUCCAUGGAUUUUGCUGAAGCAUUUCUCGUUUUCUCGACGAUCGGCAGGUCAUGGCUGCAAAUAGGGUCAUAGCAGUUUGUCAAUCGGGUGGCGAAUUUGUGACUGACGAGAAUGGGACGUUGUCGUAUAAAGGCGGGGAUGCUCAUGCCAUAGACGUCGAUGGCCAGACGAAGUUCGACGACUUCAAGACAGAAAUAGCAGAAAUGUUUAAUCCUAGCAUGAAUACUAUGUCUAUAAAGUACUUCCUCCCGGGUAAUAAAAAGACUCUCAUCACUGUCUCGAACGAGAAGGAUUUGAAGCGGA